CUUGCAGGUCUUUUGCGUGAUCUAUGAGAAUUCUUACGUUUGAGCCCCGCGAGCACGCACUGACAUGUACCUGUAAGUAGUGCGUGCUCGGAGUCAUGUUUGAACCCCGUUUGAGCGUGCGUGCUCCGAGUCAUGUGAUCUUCGUUUUGCUAACUAUGGAUAAGCGUCCCGGGGCACUCUGUCCCAGUUCUCCCGCCUGAUACAAACAAAAUGCCGCUAGUCGAAGAAGUGUUUUUCCCGAGGAUGAUGUUGGUGCACGUAGCCGGGCCAGUAGUUUCGCCUCAAGGUAUCUGGAAGACGAGGAACCACCCCAGCUGCCCCAGGUCAGCAGCGGAGGGAUGUAUAUGAAAAGACAACCGCCGAACUUUAAUAUCAGUUGGAGACGAAACGCGGCUCGAAGAGGUCAUGGCUUCACUGACCAUACAUCCUGGACACGAGUGACAACGUCAAGGUGUUCCUGACACCCGUACCUGUGUCCACCAGGACGACGCAGUUCCGCCACAACGUGCACAGGGACUCCUACCACGACAGGGGAAGUCAGUGGAGUCCGUGCAAGUCAGUGAGACGAGCUGCAUCACUGAAGGAGCCGGAAUAGACGUCCGUGUGCCUUAUAAAGUCGGGAAGGAGCUACAAAUCACCCAGAACAGCACCGUCGACAGAAGGAAAAUAAUGAGAGGGGAGUGCCAGACCAGUAGCAGAUCUAGAAUAGCCAAUCGAUUGCGCUGCUACAACCAUAGUGAACCUAAAACUAGUUAGAGAAUUCACGGACUAGUUUUGAGGUGAUUUAUACCAUUACUGUGCAUUUUAGUGUACUGGGUAUACAUUGCAGUAGUAGUUGAUUGUGCAUGUGUAUCAAAGAACCGUACAUAAGGUUAACCUCAGCGACGACGGACCGAAUCAAACCGGAGAUGGAUGUAGUUAAGGAGAGAACGGCCAUAGGAAUGUUCAGUACAAUUAUUCUGUAUCCAACCUGUGACCGAAGUUAGCGGGGUCAGCAUUAUGUAGUAACAUCAAAACACUUAAACAGUCUCCCGUGCCAAGUGUACGGAAAACCUUG